rnacentral:rRNA from 1 species
UACGUAGGGCGCAAGCGUUGUCCGGAAUUAUUGGGCGUAAAGAGCUCGUAGGCGGCCUGUUACGUCUGCUGUGAAAUCCCGGGGCUUAACCCCGGGCGUGCAGUGGAUACGGGCAGGCUGGAGGCAGGCAGGGGAGAACGGAAUUCCCGGUGUAGCGGUGAAAUGCGCAGAUAUCGGGAGGAACACCGGUGGCGAAGGCGGUUCGCUGGGCCGGUACUGACGCUGAGGAGCGAAAGCGUGGGGAGCGAACAGG